GACAGAGGUCCCGAGCGUUAGGCGGAAUCACUGGGCUUAAAGCGUGUGUAGGCGGAGUGCUAAGUACCUUGUGAAAUCCCACGGCUCAACCGUGGAACUGCUCGGUAUACUGGUCCUCUUGAGCCACCUAGGGGCAACCGGAACAAACGGUGGAGCGGUGAAAUGCGUAGAUAUCGUUUGGAACGCCAAUGGUGAAAACAGGUUGCUGGGGGUGUGCUGACGCUGAGACACGAAAGCGUGGGUAGCAAACAGG
rnacentral:rRNA from 1 species